CCCCCCACUUUCUUAGAUGCCUCCCCAAAUUAAUCAAAGCCUCAAUCCUAUAAUAGAUUUUUCUAGCACCCUCUUAACUGAGACACCUCACUCUUCCCUUGGUGUGUGUUCUCCUUUGCUGCAAAGAAUGAUAAACCCGACUGGUUCAACCACAGGUAUGUUCCUAGUGGGUUUUGGCAGGAGGUUAUUGACACCAUUCUCCCCUCUCCAUUUCUAGUUGAAUCCUUUGCCUAAUCAUCUCCAUCCUAUAAUGCUGCAACAGCAAUGUCAUGCCUGUGAUCCCUGGUUCCAGUGUUCUUCUUCUCCAGUUCCUCUUUGCCGUGAGAUGGAUCCCUCUACCCCAACUCCAGCAGAUUGUAUCUGGAUCUCCGCGGAAGGGCAGCCACUCCCCAGCACUCCCUCCUCUGGACUCCCAAAGCCCAGCACUGGGCACUGAGAGGGAGAGGAAAGGAUGGUGAGAGAGAUACAAAUACAUUGAGAGUCUGCUGGCUAGAUGUUACCGCAUGACCUGAAAGCCACAAGACUGAAUCAAACUGGGCCCAUGAGUAACCAUUUGGAGGAAAGCCACCUUGGAGAGUCACCAACCAAGGACUUCUGCAUUGAACUUGGCAUAAGUGAGAAGCUUUUAUUUGUGUGCCUGGGUGCAGGGGAAACGCACCCACACUCUCGGGGGCGACCCCCACCAGCACGUGACCU